UGGAAGUGAUGAAAUAGAGAUACUUGGGUGUUGAAUGUUGAGUGACUGGAAAUUUUAAUAAUACGUUAAGUAAUUCUUCUAGUUGAAUAUUUUAUAGUUAGUUAAUAGAGCCUGUGUGUGUGUGUGUGUGUGUGCUUGUGGCUAUGGAAAGGGAGCACUGAAUGGUGAUGCUGAUAUUGGAGUGCAUCUGAGGCUGUUGUAGAAAAACAUGGGUUGUUGAUUACAACAUUGCCUGUGAUUAUAACCCAAGAACAGCUCACCUAACUAGCCUAGCACCCUAAAAUCUCUAACAGGUUCAUUAAGCGUGGUCCUGUGAUCUGAUCCAA
rnacentral:snoRNA from 1 species